AAUUUGUAUAAAAAUUAAUAAAUUUUAACCUUUUAUAAAAUUGGAAAAUCUUUUUCAAUUUUACAGAUUCGGACCGAAUUUUUCGUAAUCGGAUAAAAAUAUGCUUAUUCCUUUUCUUUUUCUCUCUUCUUUGUUUUUUUUUUUGAUAAAAUUAUAAAAAAUAUAUCAUAGCUGACUUAUUGUGAUAUAUAUACGGAACGUAAUAUUACGUACGAAAAUAAAGAAGAUAUUUUUAUAUUGUAUUUUUUUUUAUCGUACAUAACGUAAUCUUUUCACAAUUCUAAACGAAACGUAAGGAAUCUUUCUUUCUCCACAAUCCCAAACGAAGAAAAUUUCAAACAAAGCGUAAGGAACGUAC
rnacentral:lncRNA from 1 species